AUACGUAGGGUGCGAGCGUUGUCCGGAAUUACUGGGCGUAAAGAGCUCGUAGGUGGUUUGUCGCGUCGUCUGUGAAAUUCCGGGGCUUAACUCCGGGCGUGCAGGCGAUACGGGCAUAACUUGAGUACUGUAGGGGAGACUGGAAUUCCUGGGGUAGCGGUGAAAUGCGCAGAUAUCAGGAGGAACACCGGUGGCGAAGGCGGGUCUCUGGGCAGUAACUGACGCUGAGGAGCGAAAGCAUGGGUAGCGAACAGGAUUAGAUACCCUGGUAGUCCAUGCCGUAAACGGUGGGCGCUAGGUGUAGGGGUCUUCCACGACUUCUGUGCCGUAGCUAACGCAUUAAGCGCCCCGCCUGGGGAGUACGGCCGCAAGGCUAAAACUCAAAUGAAUUGACGGGG
rnacentral:rRNA from 1 species